CCUACGGGAGGCAGCAGUGGGGAAUCUUGCGCAAUGGGCGAAAGCCUGACGCAGCCAUGCCGCGUGAAUGAUGAAGGUCUUAGGAUUGUAAAAUUCUUUCACCGAGGACGAUAAUGACGGUACUCGGAGAAGAAGCCCCGGCUAACUUCGUGCCAGCAGCCGCGGUAAUACGAAGGGGGCUAGCGUUGCUCGGAAUUACUGGGCGUAAAGGGAGCGUAGGCGGAUAGUUUAGUCAGAGGUGAAAGCCCAGGGCUCAACCUUGGAAUUGCCUUUGAUACUGGCUAUCUUGAGUACGGAAGAGGUAUGUGGAACUCCGAGUGUAGAGGUGAAAUUCGUAGAUAUUCGGAAGAACACCAGUGGCGAAGGCGACAUACUGGUCCGUUACUGACGCUGAGGCUCGAAAGCGUGGGGAGCAAACAGGAUUAGAUACCCUGGUAGUCCACGCUGUAAACGAUGAGUGCUAGUUGUCGGCAUGCAUGCAUGUCGGUGACGCAGCUAACGCAUUAAGCACUCCGCCUGGGGAGUACGGUCGCAAGAUUAAAACUUAAAGGAAUUGACGG
rnacentral:rRNA from 1 species